rnacentral:rRNA from 1 species
UACAGAGGUCCCAAGCGUUGUUCGGAUUCACUGGGCGUAAAGGGUGCGUAGGCGGUCGGGUAAGUCUGAUGUGAAAUCUCACAGCUUAACUGUGAAACUGCAUUGGAUACUAUCCGGCUAGAGGAAUGGAGGGGAGACUGGAAUACUUGGUGUAGCAGUGAGAUGCGUAGAUAUCAAGUGGAACACCAGUGGCGAAGGCGAGUCUCUGGACAUUUCCUGACGCUGAGGCACGAAAGCCAGGGGAGCAAACGGG